rnacentral:lncRNA from 10 species
CCUGGCCUCUCUGUCCCCUGAGGUCCACUGAGACCUCUUGCUCUUCUAUUUCUUAGAGCCCUGGCAGCCAGGUAGAAACAAAUAUGGCUGCUUUUGUUAUCAGGAGGGAAGCCACACUGUUCUCCCCUAGCAGGGGGUUGGUGUCAGAGCUCCGGGGGAAGGAUGUGUCAUCUCAGCACUUCUGAGCCUAUUCUCUCCCCCUGCUGCGCCCAGCUCUCUUCACACGGUUGGGGGUGGCAGAGGGUCCUGAGCCCUCCCUUCCAUGCACACCUCUGCUUGGCUGCAGGCGCUUGUGGAGCUGAAGGAAGUGCUGCCAUGCGCUGUGCAGGUGUGUCACAUUAUCACCCAGGCCCACUUCAAGGCAAACAGAUGAAAACGACAACAUUGUCUUCAGAGCCACCUGGGCUGUGGGCUGCGGGCAAGCAGGAGGGAAGUUUCUCUCUAGGCACCAGCCCAAGAACAAAAGACUGCUUUGGACUUGAACUGUUCCUUAGUAAGAAAACAGUAACUGGAAGCUGGUUAAAAUCAUCAGGAGGGCUUUGUGGGAUGCUUCGGAGAUUUUCUUCUUCCUGGUUAUUUAGGAUUAACAGUCAGCGUAGAAUCUGUGCCUGCAUCCAGACACAGGGACGGGAGGUUUGGAGGAGGGGAGGAGGAGAAGCCAUGGCGAAGGUUCAUAGCUUAGGAGACCCGAAGCCAAGGGAAUAGGCCAGAAGCAGAUCCUGAGAAUGCCAUGUGCUCACUGCCCUGCAGGGCUCUUAUUGCCCUCAGAGAAAAAGCCACAGUCCUGGCCAACCCCGCCCCCCAGGACUCUAUACAGCCCUGUCCCAGUUACAGCCCUGACCUCCUGCCCUUGCUCUGUUGCUCUGACCACACUGACCCCCUCGCAGUUCCUCUGACGUGCCAGGCAUCCUCCCGCCCCAGGGCCUUUGCAUGCGCUGUUCCCUCUGCCUGGAAUUCUUUUCCCCACAAUAUAAAUAUGUCUCACUUUCUCAUGUCCUUCACCAUGUUAUCUCCUUCGAGAAGUCUUU